CACAGAUGAACACCACGCCCCCUGCCUGCUAUGCCAGCCGUACUGACACUGCUGCUGCCUACAAAGAGGUCACCCAGGCUGCCUGUGGUCGCUUCCACUGGUUUGGAGAGACAGUGUGCCUUCCUUGUGGCCUCCCUGAAGAACCAUUCAGGAAAAGAGCUGCUGACUGCAGCCCUCCAGAAAGACAAGCCAAGGACUCUGCAGCAAAGUCAGCCCAAGAAACUCUAUCCUCCCAAGCCCACAGCCCCCUCGGUGGCCAGAAUGGUUUGACACCCUUCCCUAAUAACACACAGAGGAUUUUUCCCCA
rnacentral:lncRNA from 1 species